UACGCAGGGUGCGAGCGUUGUCCGGAAUUAUUGGGCGUAAAGAGCUUGUAGGUGGUUUGUCGCGUCUGCUGUGAAAAUCCGGGGCUCAACCCCGGACUUGCAGUGGGUACGGGCAGACUAGAGUGUGGUAGGGGAGACUGGAAUUCCUGGUGUAGCGGUGAAAUGCGCAGAUAUCAGGAGGAACACCGGUGGCGAAGGCGGAUCUCUGGGCCAUUACUGACGCUGAGGAGCGAAAGCGUGGGGAGCGAACAGG
rnacentral:rRNA from 1 species